rnacentral:rRNA from 1 species
AACGAACGCUGGCGGCAGGCCUAACACAUGCAAGUCGAGCGCCCUUUCGGGGGAGCGGCGGACGGGUGAGUAACGCGUGGGAAUAUGCCCUUCUCUACGGAAUAGCCUCGGGAAACUGAGAGUAAUACCGUAUACGCCCUGUGGGGGAAAGAUUUAUCGGGGAAGGAUUAGCCCGCGUUGGAUUAGGUAGUUGGUGGGGUAAUGGCCUACCAAGCCGACGAUCCAUAGCUGGUUUGAGAGGAUGAUCAGCCACACUGGGACUGAGACACGGCCCAGACUCCUACGGGAGGCAGCAGUGGGGAAUCUUAGACAAUGGGGGCAACCCUGAUCUAGCCAUGCCGCGUGAGUGAUGAAGGCCUUAGGGUUGUAAAGCUCUUUCAGCUGGGAAGAUAAUGACGGUACCAGCAGAAGAAGCCCCGGCCAACUCCGUG